GUGCUGGAAGGUUAAAAGGAGGACUUAGCUUCGGCGAAGGUCUUAAUUGAAGCCCCAGUGAACGGCGGCCGUAACUAUAACGGUCCUAAGGUAGCGAAAUUCCUUGUCGGGUAAGUUCCGACCCGCAUGAAAGGCGUAAUGAUUUGGGCGCUGUCUCAACAAUAGACUCGGUGAAAUUUAAAUUCCAGUGAAGAUGCUGGGUACCCGCGACAGGACGGAAAGACCCCGUGGAGCUUUACUGUAGCUUGAUAUUGAAUGUUUGUGCUGCAUGUGCAGGAUAGGUAGGAGACUUUGAAGUCGGAACGCUAGUUUCGAUUGAGUCACCCUUGAGAUACUACCUCUGUUGUAUGAACGUUCUAACUCUGAUCAGUUAUCCUGAUCGAAGACAGUGUCUGGCAGGCAGUUUGACUGGGGCGGUCGCCUCCUAAAAGAUAACGGAGGCGCUCAAAGGUUUGCUCAGAAUGGUUGGAAAUCAUUCGUAGCGUGUAAAGGCAUAAGCAAGCUUGACUGUGAGACUGACAAGUCGAGCAGGUACGAAAGUAGGACUUAGUGAUCCGGUGGUUCCGUAUGGAAGGGCCAUCGCUCAACGGACAAAAGCUACCCCGGGGAUAACAGGCUCAUCUCCCCCAAGAGUCCACAUCGACGGGGAGGUUUGGCACCUCGAUGUCGGCUCAUCGCAUCCUGGGGCUGUAGUCGGUCCCAAGGGUUGGGCUGUUCGCCCAUUAAAGCGG
rnacentral:rRNA from 1 species